UCCUGGUUAUUCCAGGCAGUCCUCCAAGAGUGCUUCCUACAUCCUUACGGACAUAAGAUUAGCAACAUGGAGCAAUGGUUGCGCUCGUUGCGGGACUUAACCCAACAUCUCACGACACGAGCUGACGACAGCCAUGCAGCACCUGUACAGGCUCCCGAUUUAACGGGUCGUUCCCCUUUCGGUUCACUACUUCCUGUAUGUCAAGUCCUGGUGAGGUUUUUCGCGUAGCAUCGAAUUAAACCACAUGUUCCACCGCUUGUGCGGGUCCCCGUCAAUUCCUUUGAGUUUUAACCUUGCGGCCGUAGUCCCCAGGUGGAGUACUUAAUGCGUUAGCUGCGGCACUGAGCCCGAAGGCCCAACACCUAGUACUCAUCGUUUACGGCUAGGACUAC
rnacentral:misc_RNA from 1 species